rnacentral:rRNA from 1 species
AGCAGCCGCGGUAAUUCCAGCUCCAAUAGCGUAUAUUAAAGUUGUUGCAGUUAAAAAGCUCGUAGUUGAAUUUCGGGGUCAGUAGGUUGGUCAUGCCACUGGUAUGUACUGGCCUCACUGAUUCCUCCUUCCUGAUGAGCCGUAAUGCCAUUAAUUUGGUGUUGCGAGGAAUCUGGAACUGUUACUUUGAAAAAUUAGAGUGUUUAAAGCAGGCUAACGCUUGAAUACAUUAGCAUGGAAUAAUGAAAUAGGACGUUCGAUCUUAUUUUGUUGGUUUCUAAGAUUGACGUAAUGAUUAAUAGGGAUAGUUGGGGGCAUUAGUAUUCAAUUGUCAGAGGUGAAAUUCUUGGAUUUAUUGAAGACUAACUACUGCGAAAGCAUUUGCCUAAGGAUGUUUUCAUUAAUCAGAAAAAAACGAGUUAGGGGAUCGAAGACGAUCAGAUACCGUCGUAGUCUUAACCAUAAACUAUGCCGACUAGGGAUCGGAUGAUGUUAAUUUUUUAAUGACUCAUUC